CGGGUAGGCGGCGAUCUAAGUCAUGCGUGAAAGCUCCCUGGCUCAACCGGGAGAGGUCGUGUGAGAACUGGAUUGCUAGAGGCAGGUAGAGGCUGACGGAAUUCCGGGUGGGUGGUGAAAUGCGUAGAGAUCCGGAGGAACACCAGUGGCGAAGGCGGUCAGCUGGGCCUAGCCUGACGCUCAGACGCGAAAGGCAUGGGGAGCGAACG
rnacentral:rRNA from 1 species